rnacentral:rRNA from 1 species
UGAGUAACACGUAUGCGAACCUGCCUGCCACAGCCGGAUAAUCGGGAGAAAUUCCGUCUAAUACGGCAUAAUGCAUCGACGGGACAUCCUGUUGGUGCCAAAGGUUAAUUCCGGUGGCGGAUGGGCAUGCGUCGCAUUAGUUAGUUGGCGGUGUAACGGACCACCAAGACGACGAUGCGUAGGGGUUCUGAGAGGAAGGUCCCCCACACUGGUACUGAGACACGGACCAGACUCCUACGGGAGGCAGCAG